UCUCCAUGGAAACAUACUUAUUAUAGUCAAAUAUUUUGUGCCUUUACUCGUUAACCAUCCUAAAAGCUUGGCGAGUCAUUAGACAGCUUAUAUUUUUUUUGCUUUUGUAGUCGGUCGAAAAAUAGGGAUGUGAUCAUGCAGCUGCCCAAAUGUAAUGCUUUACACCCCCCCCCCCCCCCCCCCCCCCCCCCCCCCCCCCAGGGUUGAUGUUCAAUCUCUUCAAUGAUUCAUAAUUGUUGGAUUCGUUUUUGAUCAUCGCAUUUAAAAAUCAAUUCAUGCCUAGUGAGAGAAAGCAAAAUCUUUUAUAGCAUUCAUAUUGCACCCCACGUGAGCAUAUUUUAAGAGUCGUCCAUGCGGACAGAUCAACAUUGCGGCAUCCCAACAAUAACCAAUCUAUUGAAGUUUCCAAGAAGAUUCCUCGCUAUUGUGGGAAAUUUCACAUGGUUAAUCUGCAAUGUAAUCGUCAAAAUUUUAGAAAAUUAAGAUGAGUGGAGUAGGGUGGGGGUGUAUAACGUAUGCACAAAAAGUUAAUAUUUGUUUUCAAAUUUUAUAAAUUUUAUAAUUUUAACUUCGCUAAAUCUAAGUUUUGACAAUUUUAAACAUGUUAAAUUUAAAUUCUGACAAUUUACACUCAUAAAAAUUAGUAAUUUUACUUAAAUUCAUUAAAAUUUUCAAUUUUGACCUGGAAAUCGCUCAUUUAUACUGGACGUAGGGGGAUCAGGUGUGAACUCCGGGAGGCUGUUGGGGAAGAUGGCGGUGCCGCUGGAUCUGGAGGGUACGGAGGCUAGGGCCUGUGUGUUCCACAAUGGUUGGAUAUCGGUCGGCAAGGACGCGAAGGCCUCGAGCGCAAAGUUUCAAGUCAGUGUGAAGGCAGAGCCUGAUCCGAGAUUCGUGUUCCAGUUCGACGGCUGAGCCUGAGGGGCGUCCUCAAGGUUUCAAAUAUUCAAGGCAACAUUCGGCAGCCGGUGUUCACUGCAAAAUUCAGUUUUUCAGAAGCAACGCCGACGAAUCAAGGUUCCAGGUAGUUUCUCAAUCUCCAAUUAUGAUUCGGUUCAAUUCUUUUAUUAAAUGCUAGGUUAGUAUGUUGAAUUCAAAUUCCUUUGGAAUUUUCACGGGAACCACAGGGUUCUCCAAACGGUAGAUACUUUACAAUGGCAGAAAAUUUAAACAUUUGAACUUUCAAAGACAAAAGUUCGCUGGAAUUGUACUGUAAAGUCUAAAGCUAAUUUCAUUGUCUACUCAGAUCACAUUUUGAUUGUCUAAACUGUGACAUUUUGAAUCUAAAUUCGUCAAGUCUGUAUAGUUGAUCAUAAUUUUAACACCCUGAACGUGUCGUGGAAAAAGGGAACCCAAGACGAAUUCAAAGUCUCCCUUAAGUGUAAAAUUAUAGCCAGAAUAAUGCGAUUAUGCGAGGACCUUUAGGAAAAUGUUUUUAUAAAUUAGAGCCUUAAACCAUCAUCAAGUAUACAAAAAAGAAGAAACAUGGGACCUUUAGAGAAAGUACCCUGCCUUGUUUCCAUGGUCCUGUAUGUUCUGCUCUUCUCUUCACCCAAACCUCCUGCUGCUUCUGCUUCUGCUUCUGCUUCUGCUGAAGAGGCUAAUGCUCUCCUCAAAUGGAAAGCUUCCCUUCAAAGCGCCAGCAAUUCUCUACUAACUUCGUGGACACUUCCUCCUCGUAAUGACUCCGGUUCAAGUGCAAGCGGCCCAUGCCAUUGGUAUGGAGUUUCUUGCGACAGUGAAGGAAGUGUCAUCGGAAUGAAACGUGACAACUCGUCGUAAGCGGGUACUCUCGAAAGCUUUUCAUUCUGCUAGUUCCCUAAUCUUGCAUAUAUGGAUUCUGUAUCAAUCAACUCUUGGUUCCAUCCACCUCAAAUUGGUGCCCUAUCCAAACUUGUUUACCUUAAUUUGUCUCCACCAGAAAAAUCAAUUUCGGGGGGGAACAUCCCACCAGAAAUUGGCCUGCGCUAACAAAAUAUUCGAUAACCCUCCACAUGCGUUCAAAAAACCAGUUUGAAGGCUCAAUUACUCAAGAGAUAAGCUGUUAAAGUCUCUUUCAGAGCUUGCUUUUGUACCACCCAAUCGUAUCAGUGGUCCCAUUCCUGCUUCUUUGGUUGUAAUUUGAGGCAACUUCUUGACUCUCUAUAUCUCUACGAAAAAUCAACUUUCUGGCUCCUUCCACCAGAGAAAUGGAAAUUUGCUAAUCUCAUGUGGCUUUACAUGGAUCAUAAACAAUUUUUAACAGGUCCUAUUCCUUCAACUUUCGUGAACUUGAAUAGGCUAAAAUAUGUUGAAGCUGUCGUGUGAACCAACUUUCUGGUUUCCAUCCUCAAGAAUAGGAAACUUGAAGUCCCUCAUCAGUUUAGAACUGACCCAGAUCCACUUUAUAUAAUAGAUAUAUUGUAAAUGGUACCAUUCUGCCUCAUUAGGUAACAUGUCCAAAUUAGAAACACUCCUCUUCUUGCGUAUCAAACCAAACUUUCUGGUCCCAUUCCAACAGAAGUCGGCCAAUUUGAAAAACUGCUCUUGUAUUGGUAAGGUCACAAAUCAGUAUCGGGCCAUCUACCGGAGAUUUUGCCAAGGUGGGAGGAAAACUUCAAAAAAUCACUGUGACAACAAUUCAGCUCGCCGGGGGCCAAUCCCCAAAAGUCUGAGAGACUGUAAAGCUUAGUCAGAGUCCGCCUGCCUUGAAGGAAACCAAUUCACUGGGGAAAGCAUAUUUGAAGCCUUGAUGUCAUCCAAAUCUAAAAAAUUGGAUCGAAGUCGCAAUAACUUCAUGGUGAAACUCAAAAAACGGAGUAGCUGCCCCCGACUGCAAAACUUUGAUGAGGCAGGCGAACAACAUACCGGUCGCAUACCACCAGAGUUGGGAGAAGAUUCGCCUCAACUUCAAAGGGCUUAACCGUUUCCAAUCAUUUGAUUGGGGAGGUCCCACAUGAAUUGGGGAAGUGAAUUCUCUGCUCGACUCUAUCUGGAGAAACCAACACUCCGGCAGUAUAACUAAAGAACUUGGAUCCCUGACUAAACUGCAGAAGCUGACCUUCCAUAAACAGAUAAAUGGGCCAUAGCAGCUGGAAAUUGGAGAAUUGCAUGCAACUGAUUAACUGAAUUUGAGCAGCAUAAUUUUAGCCAAAGCAUCCCAGAGCAACUGAGUACUUACCUAAAACUGUCAACCAUGGAUCUAAGUCAGAAUUUCACUUUCAGGGAGGGAUUACCGCACAGUUCAAAGUUCAAGAGGUUUGGAUGGGUUGAGCCUCUCCCACAAUAAUCUUUAUGGUGCAUUCCAAGGAAUUUGAAGACAUGCAUUGGUUGCAUCACAUGAUAUAUCCUACAAUGAGUUGGAGGGUCCCAUUCCCACCAGCAAAGCCCGUUAGUGAAUGCUUCCAUAGAGGCAUGCAAGGGAACAAACAUUGUGUGGAAAUGUCACAGGAUUGCAGCUUGCAAAAAUUUCAUUUUGAGUGAACAAAAACACUGCACGAGAACAGACUCUUAUUCUAAUAAUCGUGCUCCCCUUGGCGGAGCACUUUACUUCUAGGUGCACUCGCCGCGGACUUUGUGUCGCAUGGGAUAGAAGAAAGAAAAUUCCAGAAAAAAGGGUCCUACGGGAGGAUCUUCUCCCAUAUCAAUAUACAAUGAUAGAAGCAAUGUAAAUGACAUUCCUCAAGCUACAAAAUAACUUUGAUCCGAUAUGUGCAUAGGAAAGGGAGGAUAUGGAACUGUCUACAAGCAAAACUGCUAACAUAUAGCUGUGAAGAAACAUUCAUCCUUCAAACCGCGAGGGUGAUCGUAAAGGUUUCUUGAACGAGGUCAGAAGCAUUCAAAAAUUAGGAAUCGAAAUUAUAGUAAGCUUUUCGGGUUUUGUAUCGCGUGCCCAACAACUAUAGUUGGUUUACGAGUACUCGAAAGGGGUAGCUUGGCUACCAAUUUUGAGCAGAGAUGAAAGAAGCUCAAAAUUAGAUUGGCCAAAGAGAGUUACUAUUGUCACGGGUGUGCGCAUGCUUUAUCAGAUAUGCACCAUGAUUGUACACCCUCAAUUGUUCACCGGGACCAUAACAAGCAGAAAUGUUUUGAUGACAAGAGUAUGAGGCUCGUGUAUCAGAACUUUGGCAGCAAGUGAAGCUUCCUGAAGCGGAUUCUCUAAUGGGUGCACCUUGUAGGCACAUACGGAUAGUUUGCGCAGGAACCGUAGUUUUAUGUGCUCCUAAAUGAAAUAGAAUUUAUUAAUUCACAAAUAGAUGAACAAUUUCUCUGUCUCUGUCUCUUUCCUUUUUCAGAGUUCGAUUAUAAAAUGAAGGUGACUGAAAAGGUGAGUAUAUAGAUUGGAGUGUUCGAACUGGAAGGGGAUCAAAGGAAAGCAGCCAGGACGAAUUUUGUUCCUUCACGUCAACCCCAGCCGUGGAAAUAUGCAACUGAAAGAUGACUGACCAACGCCUUUUACAUCCCCUAUCCUCGAGAGGAGGAAGGUAAUAAUGUGGAUCAUAAAGAUGGCGAUUGCAUGCUUGCCAUGCCCAAUCCACAAUCUAGGCCAACAUGCAGGUUCGUUUCUCAACUGGUAUCGCCAGAGAACAGAUGAUUUACCGAAAAUGUAAAGCUAUUUUGUGAAAUACAUGAUGUAUUAGGAUAUCAAAUAGAUUAAAUAAUCUGGCAUAUUUAGUGUUAUGUAUUUUAUUGUCCACUUUAGGGUACUAACAUACAGGAUUCAUAUAAGGUGACAAGGUUGUUGGCUUGUACUUCUAAUACUGGUCUUCAGAAAAAGAUUUAUUAGCAUUAUGCAAGUUUCACAAUAUAUAGGAAAAAUUACACAGGGUCUUUGUAAAAUAAUCAGUUAUUGAUCUAGUAGUCUCGAUUGCACCCUCUUUUGAUUCUUAGUACCCAAACCUGCUCAGAAAACAAUGUAAAAUAAAACAAGGCUUUGCUUUUCUCUCAAAACAUCCCCACUGAUCCCCAAAACCGCCCCAAUUCACUCAAUCAAAGACAUAGCGAUUGAGGGUUCACUUACUAGGUUGAUACCUAGGUUUGCUCUUAUCGUUGCAAGAUAGAACUUCUCUGUCCCCUUUCCCCUCGGAAUGAUUGGCUAUAAAAAAAAAGAGAAAAACCUCAAACCCCCGGCCUAGCCUAAUCCCAACCCACCAACGCGGGGCCACUGACCCCGCCACCACCCUUAGUCCCUCUCUAUCGUUGACACUACUCUACCAUCCUCCCUAACAACCCCACCCUUUUCCAACCAUGUGGUCCGCUCUUCAUAUCUGGCCCACUGUCAACCCUCCCUACCCAUCUCUGCACCUCGCCCAUUCCGGCCCUUACAGUGGACUCGGUCCACCAUAAAACUUUCCUCACUAUCUAAGAAGAAGAACGGGAUUACCCAACCCACCAGGAAAACAAUGGAAACAGGAUAUUGUUUUUCUAAAAAUUGGGACAUGGACACGUAGGGGAUACAUUAAAUAAAUUUAUGAAAUAUUUAUAAUCAAUAAAUAAGUAACAUAUGUUCAUAGAAAAAAAUGGCAUAAUAGAUCAGAUUUGGUCCAAGUACAACUCGCCUUAUAAAGUUCAUUAGAAUAAUAAAUGUAAUGAGUUUUUUACAACAAAAAAUGGGCAUUGUAGAUCAAUAUUUGACACUUUAAACAACCAAAUGUGAAAUCAAACGAAUUGCAAACUAAUUAUUUUUCUGUCCCAAAGUAAAAACUCUUUUUGGCACACUUGGCUUCCCAAGUUUCCUUGAGGAAAAUGCCUGUACUAAAAACGUUCACAUUCUUUUUUUUUUUUAAUUAUAUAGUGCCUGAGAUAUCUUUUCUCUAGCAACGUUAGAAACAAGUUGAGGAUCCCCAACCACAAAUCCAUGCUUAUCAUCAAGACCUCACGGUGGGGGUGGCAAAAAAUUGGUAUAUGUAAUGGCAAUUACGAAAGAACAAAUAAAUAUGGUAUCCCUCUCCCCAACUGCCAUUUCCUCUUUCUUUAUCUAUCCAUCACCCUCUAUCUUCUCUCUUUAUAUAUACAUUUGGAAGUGAUUAUGUAUUAAGGAUAGAUACACCACACACACCACACACAACACCACACACACCACACACAAACACAAUAUAUAUAUAUAUAUGUAUAUAUAUAUAUCCUCUUACAAAACUGAAAACUGCAAGGCGCUGCUAGGCUAAUUGGACAAUUUCUAUUUUUUAAGGAAUUUAACGGAUCCCUUACUGAAGAUCAAAAGCUAGAACUAGAUAACAUCUGGUUGCAGUAGUAAUAACUCAUAGUGCGAUGCGCAUUUGCUUCGUGAAUUAGAAUCUGUUCUUUUUACUUGAAUGAAACUAGAUUCGGGAACUGAACCGUUAAUAGAACUUGAUUCUGUGCAAAGUUUUGUUUUCGGUGAAGAUAAAAAAACGAGUCAUGAUCCUUGUUUCCAUGUGGGCAGUGAGAGCGGUGUUAUGAUAGAAACUUCUAAUUGGCUGCCAAAUACAGCCCUUUUAUCAAAAGCCAGAUGCAAACAAGAGGAUUUUCGCUAUUAAAAUCUCAGAUCAAAAUACUAUCUAUGGAUGGAUACAAAUCAAACACAAUACAAAACGAGAAUUGGCCGCCAGUAUUUGACAAAAUAGGAUGCUUCAAGUUUUGUAGAAUUCCAAGUCCUUUGGCCUACUGGACCCGAAACAGAUGCACUACACCUCAUCUCCCCACUGUCGAUUUCACAUUCUGAAUCUUUGGUCCCUUGUUCUAUUGUUCACUUGAUUUUUGUGUACCAGUAUUUUUGUCAAUUGUGUACGAGAGAAUGUAAGCUCACUCACAUAUUUUAAGCCCAACUCUUUGUCCAUAAUUACAAAAAAAAAGGAUUAGGUGUGUGAUUCAUGCCAGUGACCAAAUCGAAUGCUAACACAAGUGUUGAUGUCCAAAUGUAAUGCUACAUAACUAUUCUAUUGAACAUUCUGCAUAAUGGUAGGUGUCACAGGGGCAAUUUUUCACUACUAAAAACUCAUGUGCGAUGGCACUAAGUGUUGCGCUUAGUCUCAACCAAACUUUGCACACAUAUAAUGAGAAGUAAGAAUUCGAAGGAAGGCACACAAAUGAUUUACAUGAAAUCAAUCCCAACCUUUUGUUACACCAGAAAUAAUAUAAUACACUUAGGAUUUUGUACAGAACACACUUUGCACAAUCCUGGCACACUAAGUCUACUUAUAGAAACAUUACAUGCAACUAGAACCCCCCCUAACUGCUACGAUAUUUGGACCAAUAACUGUUAAUAACUACUUCAGACAACCUAUUGUAUAGAGACAACUUUGAAUAGAAUCAUACAAGUGUAAUUGCCAACACCCACAACUGCUUGUAACUGCCUUGUACACACACACCCAGCAACAUGCUGAUGCCAGUCCAUGCCCAGUGCAUAGGGCUUGUUGCCUGCAUUGUGCGGAAUGUCGUGCUCCCAUCUUUGUUCAAAGCCCACACAAUCACGCAUUUGGGCACAAUUCCGCUUGUGCCUUGCAUCUUCUCAGCAACAUCACUAUCUUGAACAUUUGCUACCUUGUCAAGGCAUACCUCCCUUAUGGCUUUGCCAUCAAGGGUAGCGCAGGUGCAAGGUGCUACCACGCACGAACCCCGUGCCUGUGUCGAAGGACUAGUAUGCUAACAGUAGGGAAUGUGGAACAUGAUCCCUUGUUGGUAGGGAAAAUUGGACCUAGUCAAUAAGGACUAUCUCAUAUGACAAUGUCUUACCAGCUAGGCAAUUUAAACAUCACUAACUACAAAAAUUUGAAAAAUUUACAUGGGUGGAUGUGUUUUUUUUUUUUUUUUUUUUUUUUUUUUUUUUUUUUUUUUUUUUUUUUUUUUUUUUUCCGGCGAGGCAGUGAUCGUAUCCUAACACCACCAAGAAGAUGGACCAGCGGCUGAUACUGAGUUAGAAAGGCAAGGGAAGCCUGUUAGGCCGAGUUCAGUAGAAUUAUGUUUCAAGUGCCUCCACUGGCUUGUUAACGUCUCUGACUGCUUGGUGUGUGUGUGCUAGGUUUACAUUGGAUUGUUUUCGUGGGGGGUGGGUUUUAUUAGUCCACACGGUCGCUUUCAGGUAACUAGAUUCUGUCAAGAACUUCACAAAGCAAGAGCAUGAUAGAAGGGACAUAGUCAAGUCUUUGUGCUUGUUGAUUCAUAGCUUUUCCUCCCUAAGUGAAAGGACCCAACAUGACUUCAAGUCUCUCUAAAAUGUUAAUAAAAAACUCCUAGCCACACAACAAUACAAAGGCCUUGUGUAGCAUAAUGUGUCUGUAAAGUAGAACCUUAAACCAUCGUCAAGUAUACAAAAAGAAAAAAAUAUAGGAACUUUAGAGAAACUACUCUGCCUUGUUUCCAUAUUUCUGUUUGCACUACUCUUUUAUUCACCCAAAUUUGCUUCUGCUUCUGGUGAAGAGGCUAAUGCUCUCCUCAAGUGGAAAGCUUCCCUUCAAAGUGCCAAAAAUUCUCUGUUAACUUUGUGGGCACUUUCUUUUCAUAAUGACUCCAGUUCAAGUGCAAGCAUCCCAUGCAUUGGUUCGGAGUUUCCUACAAUACUGAAGGAAGCAUCAUAAGAUUGAACCUCAUAGUGAAGCUUCGGGUUUUGGUUUUGUUCACAUGCCCAAACAUCUUUUUGGUCUAUGAGUACCUCAAAAAAGGGUAGCUUGGCAUACAAUUUUGAGCAGAGAUGAAAGAAGCUAAACCAUUGGAUGGCCUAGAGGGUGAAAAAUUAUUAAGGGUGUUGUGCAGCUUUGUAAUACAUGACACCCAUAUUGCACAACCCCGCCAAAUUGUUUACCGCACCUAUCGAGCAGCAGUAUUUUGAUUGACGAGACGUACGAGGCUCAUGUUUCAGACUUUAGCACGAUAAAGCUUCUGAACCUGGAUUCCUCUAAUUGUAGUGCAUUUGAAGGCACAUAUAGAAUAUGUUGCACCAGGUAACCUCAAUUAAUAUAGAAUCUAAUAAAGAACAAAUAGAUGAACAUCUCUAUAUCUCUCUAUCUGUUUUUGCAGACCUUACUUGGACAAUGAAGGUGACUGAAAAGUGUGAUCUGUAAAGCUUUGGAGUAUUAGCCCUAGAAGUGAUUAAAGGAAUGCAUCCAGGAGAUUUUGUUUCCGCAUUCCCAACACCCGCUGUGGAAAUUGUACAUUACAUCUAGACCAAUGCUUUUUACCUCCCUCUCCUGAAGAUCAUUAUAAAUAUGGCAAUUGCAUGCUUGCAUGCCAAUCCACAAUCUAGGCCACCAAUGAAGAUUGUUUCAUAGUUGUUAUCUACCAGAACAAUUUCUUAGAGCCUCAGAGAUUCCUAUACCAGUAGUGCAAAGCUAUUUUGUCUAGGAAUUACCAUUAGAUAUCAAUGAAACCAAAUGCUCUCAGCAUAUUGUGGUGUAACAUACGUUUCUUUUUCUUUUUUGGGUAUCAAUUUAUAUAGGACUAUGUAUUAUGAGUGAAGAUUGUUUGCAUGUGCCUUUCAUACUGAAUGAAAGAUGACUAUCGCAAUAAAUGCAAUUGUUGAUACAAAUUAGGAUUUAGGACAACUUACACCAGUGGUCUCUGUAAUUUUCUUUUGAGCAUUUAUAAGAACCAUUGGUCUUUCAGUUUUCCAAUUGUCUCACCGACAAUCCUUAUUAAGAUUGGAUAGUAUAAUGACCAACAUUAUUGCUCAUUGACAACUCUUAAGAGAGGGGCAUUUUUCAUUUUAGACAUUACACCCCUCUUUCUUCCUUGAAAUGGAUGCACUGCUAGAUACAUUUUGUUUGCAACAAGAAUCUUAUUGCGACAAGAAUUUUCUUCUUGUAAUCAAGGAAGUCAUCCAAUAUUGUUGACCUUAGAAAGCAUUUCUUACAAGAAGUUGCGAUGGUGGGCUUUAGUUUCUACCCAAAAAACCAAGCAGCCCUUCUCAGCAAUAGUCGUGUCGCUGGUGUAUGACAAAAUAAGAUCCUCUAAUUUUUGUAGAUUUCCAUGUCCAUAGGUAUAGGGAUGUCAUUCAUGCCAGUGCCCAAAUGUAAUGCUGACACAAGUGUUCGUGUCCUAUAUCUUCAGUGAU
rnacentral:lncRNA from 1 species